AGAAGAUCUGCUUUACCCGCUUCCGU
rnacentral:piRNA from 1 species